GAUUGAACGCUGGCAGCAGGCCUAACACAUGCAAGUCGAGCGGAUGAGAGGAGCUUGCUCCUCGAUUCAGCGGCGGACGGGUGAGUAAUGCCUAGGAAUCUGCCUAGUAGUGGGGGACAACGUUUCGAAAGGAACGCUAAUACCGCAUACGUCCUACGGGAGAAAGUGGGGGAUCUUCGGACCUCACGCUAUUAGAUGAGCCUAGGUCGGAUUAGCUAGUUGGUAGGGUAAAGGCCUACCAAGGCGACGAUCCGUAACUGGUCUGAGAGGAUGAUCAGUCACACUGGAACUGAGACACGGUCCAGACUCCUACGGGAGGCAGCAGUGGGGAAUAUAGGACAAUGGGCGAAAGCCUGAUCCAGCCAUGCCGCGUGUGUGAAGAAGGCCCUCGGGUCGUAAAGCACUUUAAGUUGGGAGGAAGGGCUUACAGCGAAUACCUGUGAGUUUUGACGUUACCGACAGAAUAAGCACCGGCUAACUUCGUGCCAGCAGCCGCGGUAAUACGAAGGGUGCAAGCGUUAAUCGGAAUUACUGGGCGUAAAGCGCGCGUAGGUGGCUUGAUAAGUUGGAUGUGAAAUCCCCGGGCUCAACCUGGGAACUGCAUCCAAAACUGUCUGGCUAGAGUGCGGUAGAGGGUAGUGGAAUUUCCAGUGUAGCGGUGAAAUGCGUAGAUAUUGGAAGGAACACCAGUGGCGAAGGCGACUACCUGGACUGACACUGACACUGAGGUGCGAAAGCGUGGGGAGCAAACAGGAUUAGAUACCCUGGUAGUCCACGCCGUAAACGAUGUCAACUAGCCGUUGGGAUCCUUGAGAUCUUAGUGGCGCAGCUAACGCAUUAAGUUGACCGCCUGGGGAGUACGGCCGCAAGGUUAA
rnacentral:rRNA from 1 species